GAGGGGGGGUUCGGUGACGGCUAGGUUUUAGAAAAGCUGCGGGGAAAAUCUGAUGAGGGGGCUGAGAAGAAAGUGAAAAAACCAGAGAAAGGGAAACGGCUUGGAAAGAGGGAAUGACGGCUGAGGGAGAGUUGGAGAGAGAGGACGUCUGAAAAUCUUGAGGGAGGAAAAGAGUGAACAGCAAGAGGGUUCUGGGCAAGAGAGCUUCGGUCAGGAAAAAAGAGAGAAAAGGAAAAAACUGAGCGAGAGAAACUGAGAAGGAAAACCGAGAGAGAAAGCUGGAGAGGAGGAAGGAGAUCUGAACCAGAAAGGAAAGCUUCGGCAAGAAAAUCAGAAAAGGAAAAACGCAGGGAGUUCCUCUGCGAAACCUGCAACAAGGCUGAUCUUUCAGCCUGCCUUCGCAAGGAUUUUCUCCCCCGACCCAGCUUUAUUCGUGAAGCCAUCAAUUUCUGCUCAAUCUACAAAGUGAAAGGAACGAUUUUUGUUCAGACAUCUUGAAGGAAAAACAACUGCAAGAUCACCGAAUCUGUCUGUGAAAGAGCUGCCCUGACCCUACCGCACCAGUUUCGACUUCGAACGAAAGCGCAGCAGAAACUCUUGCUUCGGCCCCAGCAAUUCAGGGCUCCAAUUCAAGGGAGGAAUAAUGAAUCAAUCACCAAAGGAGGUCAAUUGAGGAGAAAAAUAGAGAUUUGGUGAUGAAUUUAAGUGGCAACAAGAAGAAUGAAGUGAAAAACGUUCAAGUGAGGAAAUGCAAUACAAGUCAGUUUUGACACUUUUCAGUAUUUUGACCAUAUCUGGAGCUACACUUAUCGGAUUGAGGUGAUUUUUAUACCAUUUUAAAGCUAAGAAAGAGACCUACAAUUCGUAUGAAGACAUCGAAAUCCAUUUCUGCCAUCUUCAUGGGCAAAACGUUGGAAUACAGAAGCUGCACCCUGUGGUCGGAAGUUAAAACAGAGGUUUGAACAGGUAACAGUAUUUCGAUCAUAUCUCAGGCUACAAAGCUCCGAUUUGGAUGAUUCUUGAAGCAUUGGAAAGCUAACUCAAAGGGCUACAACUUUUGUGUUUUGCACAAAAGCUAGUUCGGCCUUUAUGAUAGGGAAAAUCGCAGAUGAAGUAAGGCCAAAGUGAAUACGCGAGUACACAAAACGUGACUUGUAACCGCGUUUUGUGUAGGCGCGUUUUAUAGCCGAAAUUCUGCAAUUUGACUCAGCCAAUUCUCUUGUGUUCAUACCACUUUCCAGCUAUAAGAUGCAAGGGAAUUCGGUGCACAUGCUUCAGAAGACAAAAGGGCAAGAAAAGUGGCUUAUUUUCAAGUCAAAAAUAUUGGUUUUUGACUAUGCUAACAAAGUGGAGAUUUGGGAAUCAAAGGAUAGAUUUUGACUUGGAAAAAUGGAGCAUUUGAGUGUUUUUUAUGCAGAGAUAUGGGGAGAGAUCUGGGAACGAUUCGUAGCUUAGUUUCUUACAGAAAAACAUAUUCUCUCUACCUAGGACUUGCAAGGGGCAAUUGGGAUUUCAUCUUGUAAUCAUCUAAGUUCAAGACAAAGGAGAUUUUUGGAAGGCUUCACCAUAUCUUGGCUAAGACUUUCUUUACUCUGUUUGUAUUUGUAAUUCAUGAUGAUUUACAUUAAUGAAGUUAUGAGUGUUUUAUC